CCUGUUCACCUGCAGCCCGCCCUCUUGGACUUUGUUAGUGAACUGUGAAAUGUGGAGUUUGGACGUGUGGGACCGCUCCGAAGGGACACCGGCACGGAGAGCUGGUCUCGGGAGAGGCAGCAAGCUACAGAUAAGAAGUUAUCCAGGACGCUACGGGAGAAGCCUGAUGGAGAGGGGCUUGCGGAUGGGAGCGAGAGAAAACUACAUUUACAGUAAAUAAAAGCAUCACCCACAGAGGAUCUCUCAACUCAGUGACCUUUGAAGUUACAAGGACACAUGGCCUAGACAGGUUUAAAAAAGUGGCAGAACAAAACAGGAACAUCAUCCAAAAGCUGCAGUAAAACCAGAGUUAUGUAACCAGAGGUGGCAAGAAUCCUGUUGCCUUUGUGCCUUCCACCCAAAGCCUUCCAAGCUGUUGGAAGAGUUAGUGACAAAGUGACACAACAGCCCC